rnacentral:rRNA from 1 species
UACAGAGGGUGCAAGCGUUGUUCGGAAUUACUGGGCGUAAAGCGUGCGUAGUCGGUAUUGAGAGUCGCGGGUGAAAUCCCAGGGCUUAACCCUGGAACUGCCUGCGAGACCUCAGUACUAGAGUGUGAGAGGGGAUAGUGGAAUACCCAGUGAUAGCGGUGAAAUGCGUAGAGAUUGGGUGGAACACCGGGUGGCGAAGGCGGCUAUCUGGCUCACAACUGAACGAUCGGCACGGAAAGCGUGGGGAGCAAAGCAGG